GUGACUAUGCAAAUACUAAUUAUAUCCUUUUGCCACAGAAAAUUGAAGACAACAGACAUCCCAAUCACUGUGUCAAAAGCUGCACCGGACUUCUGCACAGUAUAUGUCAUCAGCAAAGGAAAGGUUCAUUCUGUACGGUCUGCUAGUGCUCCACCACCUGCAAAACCUCCACCUCAAAUUCAGUUGCCUAACAUACGCAACCAUAUUCCUGCUUCAGUUGAUGUACAUCUGACUGGCCAAACUCCCAGAGGUUUGCUUUUGUAACUCGCCUCAUCCUUCUUCCCAUUUUAACUGGGUUUUGUCAUUGCUCACAUGAGUUUAUGUCAAUCUCUUUAACAGCCUCAGAGAGGUCAUCAUAUAUGUCAAAUGGCUUCCAAGAAGACUCAGAUAUGAUCAAGUAAGUUCAACAGAAAGGGGUGAUUAACAAUUUAUAGUUAAUAGAGGCUACUUCUAACAUCUAAAAUGGAACCCCGAUGAGAGGACUAACCUGAUAACAAUUCAAACA
rnacentral:misc_RNA from 1 species